GAUGAACGCUGGCGGCGUGCCUAAUACAUGCAAGUCGAACGCAACACCUUCGGGUGUCGAGUGGCGGACGGGUGAGUAACACGUGGGUAACCUGCCCAUCAGCCUGGGAUAACCACCGGAAACGGUGGCUAAUACCGGAUAUGUCUACGGGUGAAAGUCGGGUUUUCUGACACUGAUGGAUGGACCUGCGGCGCAUUAGCUAGUUGGUGAGGUAGUGGCUCACCAAGGCGACGAUGCGUAGCCGACCUGAGAGGGUGAUCGGCCACACUGGGACUGAGACACGGCCCAGACUCCUACGGGAGGCAGCAGUAGGGAAUCUUCCGCAAUGGACGCAAGUCUGACGGAGCAACGCCGCGUGAGUGAAGAAGGUUUUCGGAUCGUAAA
rnacentral:rRNA from 1 species